rnacentral:lncRNA from 1 species
AGAUGCUCUGCAGUGAGCGCGCCUCUGGGUACCAAAAGUGAGGUGCAAUGGAGUGACGACCUGAGAACCGGGCUUGACCUGAGAACUGAGAAGCGGGUUUAGCCUCGAGAAGACUGUUAGAAGCGCUCAACUGUUUAUGCUUCCUCACCGAGAGAAGUCACAAGAAGAAUUUCCCAACACGUAUGCAAACCAGGUGGCUUCCUUCCUCUCUUCUUUGGGUUAGGCAAAGCUAGAGUUUAGCUUAGUAUCCUCCAUUGAUGGUGGAUAUUUCUCUCCCUCUCUAUCUCUCUAUGUGUUGUUUGAGACAACGUUUCUCUGUAUAACAGUCCUGGCUGUCCUGGAACUCACUUUGUAGACUAGGUUGGCCUCGAACUCUUACUAGUUUUCAAUGUUAGUACUCUAAAUAAACUCGAAGACGACUCCUGUAUCACAGAGAGACCAUAAUUUCAUUACGGUUUUAUUAUUAAUGAUUUUAACAGAGUUAGUAACAUUGAGCAUAAUAGCUAUGGAAAGUGAACUUGGGAUUCACUCAGCAGUGGUUAAGUUGAGCUAUUUUAUUCCCUAUGUCAUGUUAUUUAGUUAUGCAUUAAAAUGAAUUACUUUGAGCAGAAACAAAGUGAACUCUGGGUAAUAAAUACAUCAGUCUGUUUUAUUCUUUUUAAGGAUUUAUUUAUGGGUACGUGCCUGUAUGCUAUCUGUGUGCAAGUGUCCAGAGUGACCAGAAGAAGGCAUCAGAUCCUCUGGAACUGGUGUUACAGGUGGUAGUGAGCCAGUCAGUGUAGGUGCUGGGAACCAGACUCAGAGCCUCUGAAAGAAGAGCUGUCUCUAGCCACCAUUUCAGUUACAUUUGUAAAAGAUUUGCUUAUAUUUUUAUUCAGUGUGUGUGUGUGUGUGUGUGAGUGACACGUGUACACAGUGCUUAGGGAUAUCAGAAAGGGGCGUCAGAUGCCUUGGACCUGAAGUUAUAGGCAUUUGAGACAUUUGUGACCCACCCACCAUAGGUGCUGGGAAUGGAACCCAGUCCUCUGGAAGGGCAGUUAAGUGCACCUAAGUGCUAAGCCAUUUCUCUGAAAUACUUUAAAGCACAUUUAUAAAUUCCUGAGGUAUGAGUUUGAUUUUCUGUUUAUAAGGCAUACUAUAUUCAAGAGACAUUAUGAAUGACAGGCUAAAUGUCCACAGUUAAGUCUUUUGUGUCCUCAUUCACUUCUUUUAAAACAUAAGUUUGUUGUUUUUAGUCUGUCAUUGGUAACUGCGAAGUGUUCUCGUAAAUGGAAGGCUCUAUUCUGGCUUUUGUUUCUUUUGGAUGGAUGAUGAAGAUUGUGGCUAACACUGAUAACUAGUACUUUUUAUUUCUGUAGCAUUGUUUAUUUAUUUUAUUUUAUUUUAUUUUAUUUUACUUUGAUACAGUGUCUUGCUACGUAGCCUGGCCUCUUCUGGACUUCGUCAUCUUCUUUCAGCUUCCUGAGUGCUGGGAUUAUAGGAAGGAGCCACUACAUUCAGCCAGUCAGUUUAAAUAGAGUUCCACCUUUCCCCGUAAGAAAUAUACUGUUACAUAUCUGCUUUACAGAUGUGCAAAGUGAUGAAUUGUGCAGUUAGCAUAAAUCCUGAGAACUAGCCAGAUGUCCUGAACUUGUAUCCAGUCUCUAGAACAAUGACAGUCUCCAAUCAAGCUUUAGACACUGUGUUCAUAACAUUCCUCUCCCACUAACUGAGUUCUACAACCUUUUUUCAACACUACAGACACCACCCACUCCACUAAGAUUUCCUAGCUAUGGACAGUGAGUUUUUUGUACAAUAUUUAAAGUAAAAUAGUGAGUUAGUUUACCCACCACCUAGCUUGGGAGGAAACAUCACCAUUUCUGUUGGGAGCCUUGUGGAGCCAUUCUCUCUAUCACAACUACGGUCUUCUUCCACACCGAGACAACUGUGUCACCAAGCCUUCUGUGCCUCUCUGCAGUGGGUGUCUUAAUAGUUCUGCCAUUUGUACAUGGCCCUCUAGCAAAUUUUUCCUAGUUACUGUUCUUUUUGCUAGGUUCGUCCAUGUUGAUACAUGGUGGAGAAUUUUGUAUAAUUCAUUUAUUUUCUUAAUGUAGCUGUCCAUCAUUUUCUUAAACCUUCCUCUCCCUGUCCUUGUUGAAGUUAAUUUUUUGUGUUCUGCCAGUCCCUUUUCAGUCUCUCUCAUCUUUCUGCUUGUCCAUCCUAAGUGGAAAGCCAGAGAGUUCUCAGAUCUGUGUCCUUUAGCUUAGCAGUUAGAUGCUUUCAUCAUUGGAAUACCUCUUGUCUUGUUUCUUGCUGCACUUCUUCCUGACUUCUCUGAACACAAAGCAUUGCUGGAAGUUUCCAAUAGUCUUUCCUGCACCUUUAAUUUUUUUCAAAUCUUAUUUUUAAUGAUGGUUCUUAAAUGCUUUAACCUUCCAUGUAACCCACCACCCACCAGAUACAGGGUGAAAUAGAAAGGGUACGGGGGACCUAGACCUGUUUAGAAAGGUUCUUUGAAGCAAUUCCUGUCUGUUUUUCUUGGAAAUCAGCAGUUCAGUUCACAGGUUAGCAGGCAGUGACAGCUUGAUCUACUCACAAACACUUCACGGAUACACCAGCAGUCCAAUUCAGUAGAGUCCGGUUAGCAAUAGUGGUGACAUAACCUAGCCGAGACAGCCAGGCCUCAGCCUUGACUGAAGUCAGCAGGAGGGACCUGGAGGGAGACCAGAAGUUCUCAACUGUGUCUCUUGGAGAAGUGAAGAUCAGUGAAGAUGGGAGACCCACAAGCGUUGCACAAAGGCUGUGCCAGCCAACCAAACUCUGUCUCUCACUCUGUGGAGUCCUAUUUAUACCCUCCAAACAUCACAUGUCCUCCACGUGUCUUGCCUCAGCAUGGGUCUUGCCUUAGAGUCAUUGGAAGUGGCAACAAACUACAGCACACCACUGGAAGUUUUUUGGUGUGUUUCUCUCUAUGGAUUUCUGAUAAAUGCAGCUCAACUCUGCAACAUAAGGUGGACCAAUACAUGUGUGUUGUUAGCAAAGAAUCCUCUAUCACGUGUCCUUUCACAUACUUACUUUAGCAGAACAUCCUCUCUCCUGUGUCUGAGUCCGCCUUAGCCUUUGACAUCUGUCCACUUUAACAAAACUUUCCUUCACACGUUUGCCCCACCAAAACACUAUCCAACCGACUUUCCAAUGAACCCUUAAGUUUCCACUUCACUCUCCUUCCUGUUGGGCCUAUACACACAGUGCUCCUUUAUUUCGUUGGAUAACUUCACCCCAUCCUCAGCCCGUGCCAGUGGUUUGAAUGAAAUGGCUCCCAUAGGUCCUUAGGGAAUGGUACUGUUAGGAGGUGUGGCCUUGGAGUACGUGUAGACUUAUGGGAGGAAGUAUGUAACUGGGGGUGGGCUUUGAUGCUCAUGCCAGGCCAAGUGUCACUCUUUCUCUUUCUUCCUGCUGCCUUUGAAUUUGAAUGUGGAACUCACAGCUCUUUCUCCAGCACCAUGUCUGCCUGCAUGCCACCACGAUUGGCACCAUGAUAACAAUGGAAUAAGCAUCUGAACUUUAUGACAGACCCCAAUUAAAUGUUGUCCUUUAUUAG